CCUUUGAAUAAAAAAAAAAAGAAAAGUAACUUUACUUUUUUUUACCAAUAUGCUUCAACUCUUUAUGUCAAUUGAGUACUACUACUAUCCUUUGUCAUUUAUUUAAAUAUUAGGAGUUGAUAAAAAUUUUAUUUUGUGCAAAGGGAGCCAGUGCCUUUUCGUUUACCUUCCCUCACCUAAGCCCUGUCUUCUCGUAACUUUCACAUAAUUUUCUUCCCACACUCUCAAUUUUUUAUAGAAAAGAGAUGAAUGACAAAAAUUUUUUUUGAUAAAAAUCCAGAAAAGAAAAGAGAGAGGAAGACAUCGGAGUGAAAUUUGUGAUGAGCCAUAAAGGAGAUGAGAGAGAGAAGAAAAGGAACACUACUACUCGCCCUAUACGCGGAUCGAAGGUUGGGUCGACAACUUCAAUAGUUCUGCGUCGAAAAUCCUGAUGUUUUGGGCUGAACGGUGUUGAGGGGAGGAUGGAAAAGAGAAAGGAUCACACAUCGCCUCCACCUACGUUGACUCUAGAUUAGCAGAUCGGUAGCUGGAUCGCCGGCUUCAGCAAUCCAAUGCCAACGAGUCUUGAUGGUCAACAAAAGAAGAUUUCAAAGAAUUAGAGACCUUAGCAAGUCUGUUGAUGGAACUGAGAAAAGUAAUAUGAAAAAGCCAAAAUGUAAAGUUCCUAAAAGGUUUGCUGAUAUGAGUAUAGAUGUUAUUCAUUAGGGUGAGAGUAUUGAAGGGAAAAAGAUUUUCAAUUGGGAAGCUUUGAGUGUCAGUUUGGCAUUUUUAUAAUCCAACUAAAUUGUUUUUUUUGCAAGUUUCUAUGCACUGUGCUCACAUCCUCAAGUGUCAAAUCAUUUGACUAUCCUCUCUGAAUCUCUGCCGUCUGAUUUGAAUGACGAAAGCUGUUACUUGAGACAAUCAAAACAGGCAAAAUCCAUAUCAGCAGCAUCUAAAAAAUGGCAGAACUCAAGUGAAUCAACUGGUAGAUUUUGCUUCUAUGCUGUCACAAGUUCUAUAUUUCUUUUGAUCUUGCUCUAUCAAAAUUCAAUUGUAAUUAUGUUCCCUUUUUUGUCUAUAUUUUUUACCGAGACUGCAUAUUUUCCAUUCUCUUUUGCAUGGAUAACUGAUACCAUAACCUUAAGUUUGGUUCAUUGUGGCAACUGACAACAAACAAAUGGCUGUAUCAUACUUUGAUUAUUCUGCAGGCUCCGAGGUAAUGUUUAAUAAUCUUGGUCACUUCUCUUAUGCUGCAAUUCAGGUGAUUCUAACAUUAAUCCUCUUCUAAAGUUUGAUUUAAUACUAAUGUCUUACCUGUUUGUGUGAGUUCAAAGCUGGAAGCUAAAAUGAAAUUAACUUUUAUCUUAUGUCAAACUGCUUUUACCUUUCUGGUUUAUCCAGCCUUUAUAUUGGCAUAUAUAGGCCAAGCUGCUUACUUUUCUCAACAACAUCAUAUGAGCUACCGGAUGAGUUUUUAUGUCUCAAUUCCAGGUGUGAAUAUAUUGAGACAGGUUCACUAGACAGUUCACACAACAGCUUCUUACAAAUAAAAAAUGGUGUAAACAAAGCCUUCUCCUAAUUGUUUGGACACUUAGAUGCAUAUAUGAUAUCAAUUACCUUCUAUACAAUUGUUGCUCACAUCUUAAAAAAGGUAAAGCAUUCUUGAACCUUUAACUUAUUUUCUUACAUUCGUUUUUUGCAUAUAUAGAUAGACAAAAGGUUAUUAGUACAUCUAAGCAGAUUGUUAAGGUAAAUCCAUAAUUGUUCCUUUUAAUAGUUUGGAAAGUAUUGCUAAGUUAACUCAUACUACUAUAUGUGUUCACUUUUUGAAUAAUUGACCAAUUAGAAUUGCCUCAAAUGUAUGUAUAUUGGACUUUUUGAGACAAUAGAAGUUUACCAUAAUCCAUUAUUUCACCUUUUUGUUGAGUUAAUUCAUAACCCGUAAAUGUUUUUCUCUUUUUUUUUGUUAUGCUUAAGGAUUGUUUCCUGAUGUCUAUCUUCAAGUUUUCAUAAGAAUUUUUUAUUGAUCUGAUGAUAUAAAAUGGUGCCAAAAUCUUUUGUUACUUUUAUUUCCACAUAGAAAUAAGGAAAGAAGGAACAUAUGUUCGAUUUUAAUGGCCUCUCUUGCCUUUCACAACUUUCUUGAUUAUGUUUUCCGUUUAUUAGAAAGGUUAAAAAGUUUUAUAUUACUGACUCAUUGGGGACGGGAAUGUGCUGCAAUUAAAUACAUGGUGUUGUAAAGGAUGUGACUUUUGGUUCAAGUAUGAUUCCCUCACAACUAACAUUUGUAUGCUUUUAUUUUUUCAUUUUUGUGGGUGUAUGUACUUUUUUUUUCUUUUCUCUCCUUGUUCAUGCGUAUGGGUCUUGCUCAUCUUCUAUUUUUUUUUUUUUUAAACAAAGGUGAAUGUUCGUGAAAUUUUAGUGGAAAGUAUGGAUUUUGGGCUUUACAUAUUUAUUUUCAAUUAUAAAUUGAUGAUCAAGAUAAAUUUUUUUAGUAUGUAUCUAAUUUUUUUUUUUUUUUAGCUUUCUAGGGACCGAAAGUCUAUUAUAGUUUAGUUACUUAUCUUUGUUUUUAAUAUUUCAAGACAUAUGAGUUAAUGAAAAGAAUUGGUAUCUUCAAAAGCUUAAUCUCCAAUGAAUAGAAAUGAAACUAAAAGAUAAUCAUAAAAACAAGUUUAGAUCUUUGAAAUAACGGUCAAAUUAUAAAAAUAGCAUAUUGCACAUAUUUUUGCUUUUAUUUUUCAAAUUAGUCAAUUUUAUAUCAUACCAAGGAAAAUGACAGUUGACUUUUAGCUAUUCUUUAACUCACCAAGCUUCUCUUUACGAGACAAAAUUAUACUCGCACAGCUAUCAAUAUUUAGUAAAUAUUUUACAUAUUACAUAUUUCAUACAUUGCUUUAUACAAAUUUUUGCAUAAAUAACUUUAUAUUAAUGUUUAAGAUCUAUGGACUUGGGACUAAGGACAUAUUUUGAUAUAGCUUUGUUGGCAAGUGGAUCUAUAAGAGUUUAGAUGUAAUUUGAUCAGUUUCAUGGAUAUUAAAUGAAUUGGUUUUAGGAAUAGUCAAUUAAUUCAAUAUAUGUAUGCUUUUAUAGUAGAGUUGAUUAUUGUUAUCCUUUUUAUGUCUUAAGCAUCAUAGUUAAGCGAAUUAAAUUUUUUUUUUAAUAUUAUUAGCAACAAUGAUUGUAUUUUCUUCCCACUUCAAAUUGAUUAGUG